rnacentral:rRNA from 1 species
UACAGAGGGGGCAAGCGUUGUUCGGAAUUACUGGGCGUAAAGCGUACGUAGGCGGCUUUGUAAGUUAGAGGUGAAAGCCCAGAGCUCAACUCUGGAAUUGCCUUUAAGACUGCAUCGCUUGAAUCGUGGAGAGGUUAGUGGAAUUCCGAGUGUAGAGGUGAAAUUCGUAGAUAUUCGGAAGAACACCAGUGGCGAAGGCGGCGGCCUGGGUCAAAACUGACACUGAGGUGCGAAAGCGUGGGGAGCAAACAGG